CAGCCUUUUAUUUAGUUUGUGUUUGUGUUUGGUAUCAUAAAGGAGUUGAUGGGAUUAAAUAGAAACAUAAGAAAAUGAGAACCAUCCCACUGUGUUAAUUCUUGGUGUUUUUUUCUUGAUAGAUAAUUCCUAGUGUUUUUUUCUUGAUAGAAAUGUCAAAGGAUGGAUCAUGGAAAGGCAUCAUUGUCUUUCUUGAUUAACUUAAACCUCAGCAAAACCUGGCUUCUCUUUGCAGUAUUUUGUAUUUUUCAUUCUUAAAUUUGUCCAAAAGCCUAUAAUAUAUUUUAUUAAUUUUGUAAUGAACAGUUGUUACGGUCUAAGUGUGAGUGAUCCUCCAUUCUUGUGCUGAAACAUAUAUAUGUAAUAGUAUUAAGAAGCAGGGUUUUAGGAGAUGAUUAGGUCACAGAUGGAGCCCUUAUAAAUGGAAUUAGUGGUCUUACAAAAGAACCUUGGAAGAGGUUCCCCUUCCCUUUCACCGUGUGAGAAUACAGCAACAAGGAGCCAUGUAUAGAGACAAAGUCUUCUCCAGACACCAAAUCUGAUCACACUUUGAAUCUGGACUUCUCAAUGUCUAGAACAAAGGAAAGGGUACAAGGCCAGACAAGGAGGCCAGUGGAAGGCUGUUGUGAGGGGCCAGCAUCCAGUGCCUUGGCAAAAAGAUUCAGAGAAACCCCAGACCUCUUAAAGAGCUUCUGUUCUUAGCGGAUGGAGACAAAUUAUACACAUCUACACUUAUAUGGCAAAUUCGGCUCAAGGAAAUCAGGUGACUUCUUCCCAGCCACAGAGGCAUAAAUACAGUCAGG
rnacentral:lncRNA from 1 species